rnacentral:rRNA from 1 species
ACGGCAGCACGGAGCUUGCUCUGGUGGCGAGUGGCGAACGGGUGAGUAAUAUAUCGGAACGUACCCUGGAGUGGGGGAUAACGUAGCGAAAGUUACGCUAAUACCGCAUACGAUCUACGGAUGAAAGUGGGGGAUCGCAAGACCUCAUGCUCGUGGAGCGGCCGAUAUCUGAUUAGCUAGUUGGUAGGGUAAAAGCCUACCAAGGCAUCGAUCAGUAGUUGGUCUGAGAGGACGACCAGCCACACUGGAACUGAGACACGGUCCAGACUCCUACGGGAGGCAGCAGUGGGGAAUUUUGGACAAUGGGCGAAAGCCUGAUCCAGCAAUGCCGCGUGAGUGAAGAUGGCCUUCGGGUUGUAAAGCUCUUUUGUCAGGGAAGAAACGGUGAGGGCUAAUAUCCCUUGCUAAUGACGGUACCUGAAGAAUAAGCACCGGCUAACUACGUGCCAGCAGCCGCGGUAAUACGUAGGGUGCAAGCGUUAAUCGGAAAUACUGGGCGUAAAGCGUGCGCAGGCGGUUUUGUAAGUCUGAUGUGAAAUCCCCGGGCUCAACCUGGGAAUUGCAUUGGAGACUGCAAGGCUAGAAUCUGGCAGAGGGGGGUAGAAUUCCACGUGUAGCAGUGAAAUGCGUAGAUAUGUGGAGGAACACCGAUGGCGAAGGCAGCCCCCUGGGUCAAGAUUGACGCUCAUGCACGAAAGCGUGGGGAGCAAACAGGAUUAGAUACCCUGGUAGUCCACGCCCUAAACGAUGUCUAC